AUUGAACGCUGGCGGCAGGCCUAACACAUGCAAGUCGAGCGGAUGAAGGGAGCUUGCUCCUGGAUUCAGCGGCGGACGGGUGAGUAAUGCCUAGGAAUCUGCCUGGUAGUGGGGGAUAACGUCCGGAAACGGGCGCUAAUACCGCAUACGUCCUGAGGGAGAAAGUGGGGGAUCUUCGGACCUCACGCUAUCAGAUGAUCCUAGGUCGGAUUAGCUAGUUGGUGGGGUAAAGGCCUACCAAGGCGACGAUCCGUAACUGGUCUGAGAGGAUGAUCAGUCACACUGGAACUGAGACACGGUCCAGACUCCUACGGGAGGCAGCAGUGGGGAAUAUUGGACAAUGGGCGAAAGCCUGAUCCAGCCAUGCCGAGUGUGUGAAGAAGGUCUUCGGAUUGUAAAGCACUUUAAGUUGGGAGGAAGGGCAGUAAGUUAAUACCUUGCUGUUUUGACGUUACCAAAAGAAUAGGCACCGGCUAACUUCGU
rnacentral:rRNA from 1 species